UGGACUCCUGGUUUGAACCACCGCUUGACUCCAGGUUGGAAACAUCGCUCGACUCUGGGUUUGAACCAAAGCUCGACUCAUGGUUUGAACCAUC
ensembl:miRNA